rnacentral:rRNA from 1 species
UGGGGAAUAUUGCACAAUGGGCGCAAGCCUGAUGCAGCCAUGCCGCGUGUGUGAAGAAGGCCUUCGGGUUGUAAAGCACUUUCAGCGAGGAGGAAGGUGGUGAGCUUAAUACGCUCAUCAAUUGACGUUACUCGCAGAAGAAGCACCGGCUAACUCCGUGCCAGCAGCCGCGGUAAUACGGAGGGUGCAAGCGUUAAUCGGAAUUACUGGGCGUAAAGCGCACGCAGGCGGUUUGUUAAGUCAGAUGUGAAAUCCCCGGGCUCAACCUGGGAACUGCAUUUGAAACUGGCAAGCUAGAGUCUCGUAGAGGGGGGUAGAAUUCCAGGUGUAGCGGUGAAAUGCGUAGAGAUCUGGAGGAAUACCGGUGGCGAAGGCGGCCCCCUGGACGAAGACUGACGCUCAGGUGCGAAAGCGUGGGGCAGCAAACAGGAUUAGAUACCCUGGUAGUCCACGCUGUAAAACGAUGUCGACUUUGGAGGUUGUGCCCUUGAGGCGUGGCUUCCGGAGCUAACGCGUUAAAUCGACCGCCUGGGGAGUACGGCCGCAAGGUUAAAACUCAAGGGAAUUGCGGGUC